UACAUUUUCAUCAGGGACCGAAGCCAGCAAAGUGUUGGGAAAUAGCCAGAAGGUGCUUUGGUUUAACAGGGUAAGAUUGCAGGUAAUAUAAAGACAUGGAAUAAGGAAAACCAGGAACUCAGCUAAAUGAGAUUAAACUUCACUUGUAAAGCAGUGCCAAGAUGCUGUGAACCUGUUUGCUUUGGCAACUGUACUGUUGAACAAGUAUAUGGGUAUAAAAGGAGACUCCCUGAGCAACCAGGGAGCAAGCAAACAGGAGCAGCAAAUAGUGCAGUUUGCAAGCAGUUCAUUCGGACAAGAGGAGGAAGGGGAAGAGGAAGAGAAGCCAGGCACCAGAUCCUGUUCCAGGAAGGUGGCAGUGAUCCACAAGGACCAAAUGUGCAUGGUGCCUGGGCAACAGACCCACAAAGCCCUGAUGCAGCUGCAAGAUGAGCUACAAUACCAACGGGAGAGGGGUAAGAACACCACUGCUGAAUCUCUACUUGGAGAAGGUGUAUGACUGAGCAUGCCAUCACUUCCUACUGGAGAUGCUGGAAAAGAUGGGAGUCCCUGCAACCUUUGUUGCCUGGAUAAAGGCACUGUGCACUAAUGUGAGCAACAGGGUACUGGUGAGAAGGUCCCUGACAAUUCCAACUGUGGUGCAGUUGAGGGUCAGGUAGGGCUCCCUGCUCUCUCCAAUCCUAUUUAUCUGCGCAAUGGAACCACUAACACAGUGGCUCAAGCAGGACCCCAGGAUCAGUGGCAUGAAGAUCCCCGGGAGUAACAGGGAACAGACAAAAGUUCUCGCUUACAUGGAUGACCUAAGCAUCAUAUGCAGGGACAUGGUUUCAGUAGGAAGAGCACCCAGGUACAUGAGCAGCAGCAGGGGCCAAGCUCAACAUGAGCAAAAGCACCUACCUACUCCUGGAGGAACUCAAGGGCCUGUCAGCCCUGGAGGUCUCUGUCCCCCAUGAGUGGGUAAAAAUCCUUGGGUGGAGUUUGACCCAGAGCUGUUAGGAUAGACAGUAUGGGAAGAGAUGAAGGUUAAGACCAAACAGAGCCAAGACCAAACAGAGACUGGGACUAUGGCAA